rnacentral:miRNA from 2 species
CCCAUUUCCCUGUCUUUCAACA